UACGGAGGGUGCGAGCGUUGUCCGAAAUCACUGGGCGUAAAGGGCGCGUAGGCGGCAUGCCAAGCGUGUGGUGAAAGCCCGGGGCUCAACCCCGGGUCGGCCGUGCGGACUGGCGUGCUCGAGCACUGUAGGGGCGGGUGGAAUUCCGGGUGUAGCGGUGGAAUGCGUAGAGAUCCGGAAGAACACCGGUGGCGAAGGCGGCCCGCUGGGCAGGAAGGCUCGCAAGAGCCGGCUGACGCUGAGGCGCGACAGCGUGGGGAGCAAACAGG
rnacentral:rRNA from 1 species